GUAGUCCACGCCGUAAACGAUGUCUACUAGCCGUUGGGGGGCUUGACCCUUUAGUGGCGCAGCUAACGCGAUAAGUAGACCGCCUGGGGAGUACGGCCGCAAGGUUAAAACUCAAAUGAAUUGACGGGGGCCCGCACAAGCGGUGGAGCAUGUGGUUUAAUUCGACGCAACGCGAAGAACCUUACCAGGUCUUGACAUCCCCGGAACUGGGCAGAGAUGCCCGGGUGCCUUCGGGAAUCGGGAGACAGGUGCUGCAUGGCUGUCGUCAGCUCGUGUCGUGAGAUGUUGGGUUAAGUCCCGUAACGAGCGCAACCCUUGUCCUUAGUUGCCAUCAUUCAGUUGGGCACUUUAAGGAGACUGCCGGUGACAAACCGGA
rnacentral:rRNA from 1 species